GAUGAACGCUAGCGGCAGGCUUAAUACAUGCAAGUCGAGGGGCAGCAUGACUGUAGCAAUACAGUUGAUGGCGACCGGCAAACGGGUGCGGAACACGUACAGAACCUUCCUUCGAGCGGGGAAUAGCCCAGAGAAAUUUGGAUUAAUACCCCAUAGUACAACGGAGUGGCAUCACUUUGUUGUUAAAGAUUUAUCACUUGAAGAUGGCUGUGCGGCUGAUUAGGUAGUUGGCGGGGUAACGGCCCACCAAGCCUGCGAUCAGUAACUGGUGUGAGAGCACGACCAGUCACACGGGCACUGAGACACGGGCCCGACUCCUACGGGAGGCAGCAGUAAGGAAUAUUGGUCAAUGGACGAAAGUCUGAACCAGCCAUGCCGCGUGGAAGAUGAAGGUCCUCUGGAUUGUAAACUUCUUUUAUAUGGGAUGAAAAAAGGGUUUUCUAACUCGUCUGACGGUACCAUAUGAAUAAGCACCGGCUAACUCCGUGCCAGCAGCCGCAGUAACAC
rnacentral:rRNA from 1 species